rnacentral:rRNA from 1 species
GUAGGGAAUAUUGGACAAUGGGGGCAACCCUGAUCCAGCGACGCCGCGUGAGUGAUGAAGGCCUUCGGGUCGUAAAGCUCUGUCGUAUGGGACUAACAAAAUGAAGGUACCAUGCAAGAAAGGAUCGGCUAACUUCGUGCCAGCAGCCGCGGUAAGACGAGGGAUCCUAGCGUUGUUCGGAAUUAUUGGGCGUAAAGCGGGUGUAGGCGGGCCUGUCAGUCAGGUGUGAAAUCCCAGGGCUUAACCCUGGAAGUGCACUUGAUACUGCAGGUCUUGAGUGUGGUAGAGGCUAUUAGAAUUCUUGGUGUAGUGGUGAAAUACGUAGAUAUCAAGAGGAAUACCGGAGGCGAAGGCGGAUAGCUGGGCCAACACUGACGCUGAGACCCGAAAGCGUGGGGAUCAAACAGGAUUAGAUACCCGAGUAGUCC